GGAGAGAUGGCCGAGUUGGCUGAAGGCGGUCGCCUGCUAAGCGACUAAGCGAGUUAAAGCUUGCUUCGAGGGUUCGAAUCCCUCUCUCUCCGCCA
rnacentral:tRNA from 1 species